rnacentral:rRNA from 1 species
GAUGAACGCUGGCGGCGUGCUUAACACAUGCAAGUCGAACGGUGAACGAGGGAGCUUGCUCCCUCCGGAUCAGUGGCGAACGGGUGAGUAACACGUGAGCAAUCUGCCCUGGACUCUGGGAUAAGCGUUGGAAACGACGUCUAAUACCGGAUACGAGGCGUGGGGGCAUCCCCAACGCCUGGAAAGAACUUCGGUCAAGGAUGAGCUCGCGGCCUAUCAGGUAGUUGGUGAGGUAACGGCUCACCAAGCCUACGACGGGUAGCCGGCCUGGGAGGGUGACCGGCCGCACUGGGACUGAGACACGGCCCAGACUCCUACGGGAGGCAGCAGUGGGGAAUAUUGCACAAUGGGCGCAAGCCUGAUGCAGCAACGCCGCGUGAGGGACGACGGCCUUCGGGUUGUAAACCUCUUUUAGCAGGGAAGAAGCGAAAGUGACGGUACCUGCAGAAAAAGCACCGGCUAACUACGUGCCAGCCGCCGCCGUAAUAC